GUCUGUUAGUUUUCGGAUUUUAUGUGUCUCCGAGCUGGUGGCACCAAACUCCCACUCUGCCUUCUGGCCGGGAGGGGGAUGUCUUGUUUCUGUUAAGGUUUCUUUUGGAAGUGUCAAGGCAUUGGUCCCUCUGAGUCCCGCUUCUAUUUGCCCUGUCAGUUUUCAUUGUAGUCAGGAUAUAAUGAGAUUUGGGGUCCUUCUCUGGUCAGUUUUCCCUCCACCUUGGAUUAAUCUGAAUCUAAUUGUUUUUUGUAAUCUAACUUACUGACUAUCAAGGUUUAAGUGAUCUGCACUUAGAGAGCAUAGGGUCUUGUGACUUAUUACCUGGCUUUUAGUUGCUCAGCUGUUCUGGCUAUUUGUCUCAAUUUCCUCAUUCCACUUUACCAGGGAAUUUUCCUAGUUUCUCACUAAUCUGUCUCACCAUGGGCUCAUCUACUAGCUUAUGUGGUUACAUCCAAAAAACUGUCAGACAUAGCCCAGCUCACUACCUUCCCCAGUCCUUUUCAGAAGUAAAAUGUUCCAGGAGAGAAUUCAAGGAGCUUGGUGAUGAAAUGAAGUGGAUGAACACAGCAGACACUCAGGUCCUAGGGUGCUGAGAGAGGCACAGUGCCUGCUGUCCUUCCUGGCCACUGGGUAGAACACUCUGCCAUGCUGCCAUGCUGGAAGCUGGCAGGGUGACUGGGAAAAUGGAAAAUUACAAGUGAAGACAUGGAAUAAGCAUGCAAAG